rnacentral:rRNA from 1 species
AACAAACGCUGGCGGCGUGCCUAACACAUGCAAGUCGUACGAGAAAGUCGGCUUCGGCCGAUGAGUACAGUGGCGCACGGGUGAGUAGCGCGUGGGUAAUCUGCCCCCCGGUCAGGAAUAACCCGCCGAAAGGCGGGCUAAUACCCGAUAACACUGACGCUCCGCGGAGCGUCUUUCAAAGAAGGCCUCUGUUUACAAGCUUUCGCCGGAGGAUGAGCCCGCGUACCAUUAGCUAGUUGGCAGGGUAAUGGCCUACCAAGGCUACGAUGGUUAGCUGGUCUGAGAGGAUGGCCAGCCACACUGGAACUGAGACACGGUCCAGACUCCUACGGGAGGCAGCAGUGAGGAAUCUUGCGCAAUGGGGAAACCCUGACGCAGCAACGCCGCGUGAGUGAGGAAGGCCUUCGGGUCGUAAAGCUACUGUCAGAUGGGAAGAAAUGGAUGGGGGCUAAGUAUCGCCCAUCCGUUAGACGGUACCAUCAGAGGAAGCACCGGCUAACUCCG